GUGAACACAACAAUAAACACCAACAGUGAUCCAGCGGUCAACAUCUACUUCACCUACUUCACAGAGCCACCACUACAUUUCAACCUCUACAGCCUCCCCGUCUCCCUCUUCCCCUCCCCUGUACUGCUGUGUAGCACUCAAAUCUGUAAUCAUGAAGUGCUUUGAAAGAUCAGCAUUCAACGCCAUAGUGCCCUCCAAGCUCGCCAUCAAGCUUGGGACCUUGGGACUGAACACCUCCCUCUGCACCUGGAUCCUGGACUUCCUGACAGGCUGGCCCCAGGUGCCUGCCUGGGUACCUGAAGGAUGCUGGUUCCUAUGGGGACAUUCUCUAGUAUGCUGGUCUCGUAGCUGUUCUGGAGGAAGAUGGGUCUGUUGUCGUUCACAUCCAGUACUUUUACAAACACUGUGGCUGUGCCUGUCCUCCUGCUGCCUGAUGGACCAUUGUCUGAGGGACACACACAUUCACACAUUACAACACUGUGUGUAUGUGUCUAUCAGUUUCUGAGAAACUGGGCCAUUGAACAUAUUUGUAUGUUUUUUUAUGACACAACUACAA